rnacentral:rRNA from 1 species
GAGUUUGAUCGUGGCUCAGGAUGAACGCCGGCGGUGUGCCUAAUACAUGCAAGUCGUACGCACUGGCCCAACUGAUUGAUGGUGCUUGCACCUGAUUGACGUUGGAUCACCAGUGAGUGGCGGACGGGUGAGUAACACGUAGGUAACCUGCCCCGGAGCGGGGGAUAACAUUUGGAAACAGAUGCUAAUACCGCAUAACAACAAAAGCCACAUGGCUUUUGUUUGAAAGAUGGCUUUAGCUAUCGCUCUGGGAUGGACCUGCGGUGCAUUAGCUAGUUGGUAAGGUAACGGCUUACCAAGGCGAUGAUGCAUAGCCGAGUUGAGAGACUGAUCGGCCACAAUGGAACUGAGACACGGUCCAUACUCCUACGGGAGGCAGCA